rnacentral:lncRNA from 1 species
AAAAAGGUUAAUGAGAGAAAUGGAAUGUGUCCACUCUUGGAAUAAAGGUGAACAAAAAUAAAUAAAUGAUUGAUUCCAUUAGAGAUAAAAAUGUAAUCCCAAAAGAUUCAUUCAUAAAACCCAGGAAAACAUUAACCAUAGAGAAACGACCGUUACUAUAUCAUAGCUGCUACGUGGUAUUACACCAUCUGUAAACUAUGUUAGUGGUUAGCUAGUUAACCAUAAAUCUGCUGGUGUGUCUAUCUGGGUUUCUUCCAGACAGAGAGGUUAAAGUCCCUCUCCUUUGUUUACUGCGGCUGUUUGUGGUCACACAUUUCAUGUAGGCGUGAAGAGAGUGGACAGACAGUUGAUUGACAGGGGGUCAUAGCCUAUAGCAGAGCCGUCGACUCACUUUAAAGGCCAGGAAGAGGGCGUGGCACUUGAGUCUGAGGAUGGACAUGAGCUUCUUCGUUAUUUGCUGCCCGUCACAGUGGGCGGAGCCUAGAGUCAGACUGUAGCUCCGGGAUUUAUUUAUUUUUAUUCCACCUUUAUUUAACCAGGAAGUCCAGCUUAGAACAAGUCCUUUAUUUAACCAGGUAGGCUAGUUGAGAACAAUUCCUUUAUUUAACCAGGUAGGCUAGUUGAGAACAAUUCCUUUAUUUAACCAGGUAGGCCAGUUGAGAACAAGUACUUUAUUUAACCAGGUAGGCAAGUUGAGAACAAGUUCUCAUUUACAAUUGCGACCUGGCCAAGAUAAAGCAAAGCAGUGCGACAAAAACAACAACACAGAGUUACACAUGGAGUAAACAAACG